GGUACUCCUGAGUCUGAUUUUGUAUCCAGAACGUUUUGGAUGCCAUAUGACAGGAAAACAAUGCGAACUGAGAACAGCGUGGUAUCUUCCCUAACGUUCACUUAUGGGGAACAACAUGUGCCAUGUACAAUUUGAGGAUGCUAUUGGAUGCAGCAAGAUCAGAAGAAAAAGUCAACUGUUCACAGAGCUUUAUUAUCACAGAAGGUAGUACAGACAUCCCCUGGAGAUGAGGCAGAGAGCUCUGGAAGGCAUCCUUGGAAACGUCAGCCGAAAAAAACAGACUGGAUUUUGAGAGUAAGAGUGAAGAAAGAGCACUUUGAGUGAUCAGCUCCUCUCCAGUGCUACGGAGAUUCCCUGGCUGCUUGAGAGUUCUGGGUUUGUGAAAUCAGGGUGUUUAACCAAAAGCCAAAGGCUGACUAGUGUCUUCAGGUGUCCUAAUACUGCAGUGCCUAAAAAUGCUGUAGAGGGAAUAAGAGAGAUUAGGUAUAGUGUAUGGGAAUUAAACAGCUUUGACGUGUCUUUAGGCACCUGACUGUGGGA